rnacentral:SRP_RNA from 1 species
GCCAGGCAUGGUGGCGCAUGCCUGUAAUCCCAGCUACUCGGGAGGCUGAGGUAGGAGAAUCACUUGAACCCGGGAGGCAGAGGUUGCAGUGAGCCAAGAUCAUGCCACUGCACUCCAGCCUGGGUGACAGAGCGAGACUCCAUCUCAA